rnacentral:rRNA from 1 species
GACGAACGCUGGCGGCGUGCCUAAUACAUGCAAGUAGGACGCAGUUGCGAACGGGUGAGUAACGCGUAGGUAACUACCUAUUAGAGGGGGAUAACUAUUGGAAACGAUAGCUAAUACCGCAUACUAGUAGAUGGACCUGCGUUGUAUUAGCUAGUAGGUAGGGUAAUGGGCUACCUAGGCAACGAUACAUAGCCGACCUGGGAGGGUGAUCGGCCACAAUGGGACUUGUAAACGGGCCAGACUCCUACGGGAGGGAGCAGGAGGGAAUCUUCGGAAAUGGGGGGAACCCUGACCAAGCAACGCCGCGGGAUAUAAGAAGGUUUUCGGGUCGUAAAGCUAUUUUGUUAAGGAAGCGGUACUUACCCAGAAAGGGACGGCUAACUACGUGCCAGCAGCCGCGGUAAUUC